AAGAGUGGCGAACGGGUGAGUAACACGUGGGAAACCUACCUCUUAGCAGGGGAUAACAUUUGGAAACAGAUGCUAAUACCGUAUAACAAUGACAACCGCAUGGUUGUUAUUUAAAAGAUGGUUCUGCUAUCACUAAGAGAUGGUCCCGCGGUGCAUUAGCUAGUUGGUAAGGUAAUGGCUUACCAAGGCGAUGAUGCAUAGCCGAGUUGAGAGACUGAUCGGCCACAAUGGGACUGAGACACGGCCCAUACUCCUACGGGAGGCAGCAGUAGGGAAUCUUCCACAAUGGGCGAAAGCCUGAUGGAGCAACGCCGCGUGUGUGAUGAAGGGUUUCGGCUCGUAAAACACUGUUGUAAGAGAAGAAUGACAUUGAGAGUAACUGUUCAAUGUGUGACGGUAUCUUACCAGAAAGGAACGGCUAAAUACGUGCCAGCAGCCGCGGUAAUACGUAUGUUCCAAGCGUUAUCCGGAUUUAUUGGGCGUAAAGCGAGCGCAGACGGUUAUUUAAGUCUGAA
rnacentral:rRNA from 1 species